CUUGAACGCUGGCGGCAUGCCUUACACAUGCAAGUCGAACGGCAGCGCGGGGCAACCUGGCGGCGAGUGGCGAACGGGUGAGUAAUAUAUCGGAACGUACCCUGGAGUGGGGGAUAACGUAGCGAAAGUUACGCUAAUACCGCAUACGAUCUAAGGAUGAAAGCAGGGGAUUCGCAAGAACCUUGUGCUCCUGGAGCGGCCGAUAUCUGAUUAGCUAGUUGGGGGGUAAAGGCCUACCAAGGCAUCGAUCAGUAGCUGGUCUGAGAGGACGACCAGCCACACUGGAACUGAGACACGGUCCAGACUCCUACGGGAGGCAGCAGUGGGGAAUUUUGGACAAUGGGCGAAAGCCUGAUCCAGCAAUGCCGCGUGAGUGAAGAAGGCCUCGGUUGUAAGUA
rnacentral:rRNA from 1 species